UCUAAUAAAGUUUAGCUUAUUAAACUUGGCAUCUGGUGGAUGCUUUCUUUCCGUUCUCGACUCCUGAGCAGAGCAGAAGUGCGCGUCUUGAAGUAGUAGUUACUAGUAACAGUAGUUAAAAUUACUAGGCAAGUUACAACUAAAGAUUAAUUACUCAAAUGAAAUUUAUUAAGUGCUAGUUAGGACCAAUACAACACGUUAAAAGCUAAAAUUGUUAGUUAAACGGAAACGAACAAGAACAACACGUGUAAGCACUACGAGCAAAAAUAAGAAG